UAAGGAAUAUUGCUCAAUGGGAGAAAUCCUGAAGCAGCAACGCCGCGUGGAGGAUGAAGGGUCUAUGACUUGUAAACUCCUGUAGAGAAGGAAAAAAUUCCCAUUUGAUGGGAGAUGAUGGUACUUCUGGAGUAAGCCCCGGCUAACUACGUGCCAGCAGCCGCGGUAAUACGUAGGGGGCAAGCGUUGUCCGGAUUUACUGGGUGUAAGGGUGCUCAGGCGGAUUUGUAAGUCAGAGGUGAAAUCUUACAGCUUAACUGUGAAACUGCCUUUGAUACUGCAAGCCUAGAGUAUGGAAGAGAGUGAUGGAAUAUCCGGUGUGGCAGUGAAAUGCGUAGAUAUCAGAUAGAACACCAAUGGCGAAGGCAGUCACUUGGUCCAUUACUGACGCUAAAGCACGAAAGCGUGGGUAGCAAACA
rnacentral:rRNA from 1 species